AAUACGUAGGAGAGACCUAGCGGUCUAUGUGUUUCAUUUCUAGGCGGCUGUCCUGCGCAUCUAGAGUUGCUUCUUGUGUGAUGUCUUUUUUGUUCACCAUAAUGAUUUGUGAGCUCUAGUUCCUAAGGUCCCGCUUUGUUGAUGUCAUUGCUUCUUUGCCUCCGUUGUGGUUGUGCUGAUGUCUUUGAUUGGAAUUUCUCUUUGGUGUUGUCUCCCCCAGUGUUAGGCACACUUGAGUUCGAUAGGUAGAGGGCCGCAUCUGGCCCGUGGGUUGUAAUUUGGCCACCCCUGGGCUACACAGAAGUAAAACAAUUUCUAAGUGACAAGACUGAAGAAGAGUUACAAGAAUACCUUACUCUAGCUACGUUACUCGUGGAACGAGAAAUUCAUUGAGAACUCAACUCUGAUGGCCGGAUAG
rnacentral:sRNA from 1 species